rnacentral:rRNA from 1 species
GUCUACGGCCACACCACCUGAACGCGCCCCAUCUCGUGCGAUCUCGGAAGCUAAGCGGUCAGGCCUGGUUAGAACCUGGAUGGGAGCAGAUAUUCCGAGAAGCGGAGCACC